UACGGAGGGGGCUAGCGUUGUUCGGAAUUACUGGGCGUAAAGCGCACGUAGGCGGCUUUGUAAGUUAGAGGUGAAAGCCCAGGGCUUAACCCUGGAAUUGCCUUUAAGACUGCAUCGCUAGAAUCGUGGAGAGGUAAGUGGAAUUCCAAGUGUAGAGGUGAAAUUCGUAGAUAUUCGGAGGAACACCAGUGGCGAAGGCGACUUACUGGACACGUAUUGACGCUGAGGUGCGAAAGCGUGGGGAGCAAACAGG
rnacentral:rRNA from 1 species